AGGCGGCGGCUAGGAAGGCGGCUCUGGUGGCGGCGGUGGAGGCUGAGGCGGCGGCCGAGGCGGCGACGGAGGAAACAGAAGAUGGCAGAUUUUUUGAAAGGACUGCCUGUCUACAACAAAAGCAAUUUUAGUCGAUUUCACGCGGACUCCGUGUGCAAAGCCUCGAACCGACGGCCCUCAGUCUACCUGCCCACCCGAGAAUACCCGUCUGAACAGAGUAAGUGGCCGCUGUCAGUCUUUCCCAUUGUGGCUGCUGAGGGGCGGGGUUUGGUGACUGCAGCGUGGCACGAGGAGGUUAUCUUCAACCCCGGCCCAGGCCAUAGACUUGGCUUGGGUUCACACGCUGGCUCCUGAAUCCAGUUAAGUCGGGAAGGGCCUCCAGGGAGGUGCAGGAGGGGAAACUUGGGGGCUUCAGCCUGGGGAUGCACACGUGGAUGCCUGUCCACUCCCAGCCCCUGGGGACAGCCAGAAACAGCUUUCCCCAGGUAUCUCUUGAUUGGGACACACUGGGAUUCACAGCCAGCCCAAAGGGGCCCCCAAGUUGUCCCUCAUCUGCCA
rnacentral:sRNA from 1 species